UGGGAUGUGGUUUAGUGGUAAAAUGCUUGCCUAGCACAUGAGAGGUGCUGGGUUCAAGCCUCAGCACCACAU
rnacentral:tRNA from 1 species